UAAAACCCCCGGAUCGAGCUAAUUCUUCGGAUCUGUAAAAACAGUAAGAAAUUGUAUAAUGAGCUAGACAGCCCAGUAAGUAAUAAACACCUUAACUAGUCAAUUCAUAUAAUAACAUAAAAUAUAAAUACAAAUUACGAUAAAUCAACAUAAUAACAUAAUCAAUUCCUUUUCAAGCACAAAUUCAUUAAAAUUCGUAUUUUUCAUAUAUCCAUAUACAUAAUCAUAAAUCUGAUUCGAAACAAAUCACAUUCAUCUCAUCAGCCUUUAGCUACGACCACACUUAUACCCUGUGGCAAGGCCAGAAACAGAACCGCACUUAUACCCUGUGGAGUGGGCCAGAAUACCGCACUUAUACCCUGCGGAGUGGGCCAGAAUACCACACUUAUACCCUGUGGUGGGGCCGGAAUUGCCAAUGCAUAACCCCCUAUUGGCAGGGUCCAGAACAUAGCCAGGCUGAGAGUUCUAAAUCUGCUGCACAUCAAAAUUCUUUUGGUAACAUAAUACAUGUAUCAUAAUCCGAUCUAAAUAUGCAUAUACGAUGCAAGAACAGUAAAUAUAGCAAUAAUCCGAAAAAUAUUAUUCCAGAUCACAUAUCCAUUUUUCAUUCAAAUCAUCAUCUCGUAAGAUUCCUAAAUCAUAUAUAAAUUCAUUAACAAUUUACUUGAUGCAAAAAUAAUAUUAUAUAAAUGAAUAGUCUAGAGAAGGCAGUUCAUUACUUACAUCGAACGCGAUCCACAACAAAUCCAAUUAAUCUCACAAAUCCCUCGCAGAACCUAAUAUCCAAAAAUCAUAUUUUUCUUUUAAAAUUCAUCACAAUAUAUAUAAAACUUAAAUUUUAACAUUCUCCCAGGGCCGACCCUGCAGAAGUGUCUAGCCCCCUCCGGGUUCGGGUUCGGAUUCGGGUUCAUACCCAUAAACCAUCCUCUCCCUUUAUUUAUUUAUUUAUUUUUUUUCUUUU
rnacentral:lncRNA from 1 species